rnacentral:lncRNA from 1 species
CUCAGGAGCGGCUGUUCCCCUGCCGCGGCGGGGGUGGUCCCGGAGCCCCCGCCAGGUGCCCAGGAGAUGCGUCCCCGGAUGCCACAUUGGAAACAACUGUGUCCGUCACCUGGGCAGUGGCUCGGAUGCUGCGUAAUCACACGGUGGGAUAUUGCUCAACGAUUCAGACGCUGAGCCCGGAUCUACGCGGACCAACAUGGCAGAGUACCUUUAACAGUCAGGAUGGAAACCCAUUGGCUUCACAGGUGUAAUUACUUCGGGGAGUGCGUGAUGACCAACCCCCAGCCCCUUGUCCUACCGGAGCAGCCAUGGAAUUUGAAUGGGAGUCUGAGAGUCCAGCCCAGCAAGAGAGCACCAGGUGCUACCUCUCUGCUUUCCCGGGACAAUCCCUGGCAACCACUCCAAGGUGGAGGCCUGAUCCUGGAAGUCAGAUCUGAAAGGGACCGCCAAGGUCCUUCUGGACUAGCCAGGAAGGAUGCCUGGGUCUGGAGGCCCCACCUGCCCCAUCUCUGCCACCCAGGCUCCGGGAUUCCUGGGCUGAUACUCACAUGUGAGAACGAAGUGGCCCUGCAAAUAUUCCCCUUGGCCUAGGCAGUGGUCCUGGGCGUGGAAAGCCUGAAUUCUACGCCUAGAACCGGGGCUUAAGUUCAAAUCCCAACUCUACUGCUUUGCUGUGUGACCUUUUGCAACUAUCUUUACCUCUCUGAAUCUGAUAAGACUGCUGUGAAUAUUUCCUACCUCUGAAUACAACUGCAACGUUCCCAUUUGUCAUGAUUUUUUUUUUUUAAGCCAAGUUUCGAUGACUUCCAAAAGUUUGGGAAUCCCUGGUGUAAUCCCAUAGUUUCUUUUUAUAAGUUCUUGGCCUGCUUACUGUUCAAAACAUGAAUUACAGAAAGGAAAGGUGAGAAGAGAAAUAGCCCAGAGGACAAAAAAAAAAAAAAAAAAAAAACUGCAGAGUUAGGACAAACUGCUGGGUGACAGCUUUGAAAUGAAGCCACAGGGCUGUUAAUUGCAUUCUCUUUGCCCCCCAGGCGUGUGCUCCUCUGUCUCGUCUGGUGUGGGAUCAAUGUGAGGGAUGGUGAGCAGGAUUAAGGAAGGCAGACUUUGAUGAGGCCAUCAGACAGGUAAAAAGGUAUUGAGCCGACUCCUGGUGACUUAUCACUAGAUACAGUUAAUCAGUGCGUGUGUUUGUGUGUGUGUGUGUGUGUGUGUGUGUUCUUUGUCUCUCUGUGUCUCUGUUUCUCUUCCCCUCUCUCUUCCUCUCUCCUUUGGUCCCCACUCUAUCGCACUGAAUAAAGUGUGUGCAUUCACACA